GAUGAAGAACGCAGUGAAAUGCGAUAAGUAAUGUGAAUUGCAGAAUUCAGUGAAUCAUCGAAUCUUUGAACGCACAUUGCGCCCCCUGGUAUUCCGGGGGGCAUGCCUGUUCGAGCGUCAUUUCACCACUCAAGCCUCGCUUGGUAUUGGGCAACGCGGUCCGCCGCGUGCCUCAAAUCGACCGGCUGGGUCUUCUGUCCCCUAAGCGUUGUGGAAACUAUUCGCUAAAGGGUGUUCGGGAGGCUACGCCGUAAAACAACCCCAUUUCUAAGGUUGACCUCGGAUCAGGUAGGGAUACCCGCUGAACUUAAGCAUAUCAAUAAGCGGACGA
rnacentral:misc_RNA from 1 species